CUCGUAGGCGGCCAACUAAGUCAGACGUGAAAUCCCUCGGCUUAACCCGGGAACUGCGUCCGAUACUGGAGGGCUUGAAUCCGGGAGAGGGAUGCGGAAUUCCAGGUGUAGCGGUGAAAUGCGUAGAUAUCUGGAGGAACACCGGUGGCGAAGGCGGCAUCCUGGACCGGCAUUGACGCUGAGGCGCGAAAGCCAGGGGAGCAAACG
rnacentral:rRNA from 1 species